CACACCGCCCGUCACACCAUGGGAGUCAGUUGCUCCAGAAGUGGCCGCGCCAACCGCAAGGAGGCAGGUCCCUAAGGAGUGACUGGUAACUGGGGUG
rnacentral:rRNA from 1 species